GUCCAGACUCCUACGGGAGGCAGCAGUGGGGGAUAUUGCACAAUGGGGGAAACCCUGAUGCAGCGACGCCGCGUGGGUGAAGAAGCGCCUCGGCGCGUAAAGCCCUGUCAGCAGGGAAGAAAAUGACGGUACCUGGAGAAGAAGCCCCGGCUAACUACGUGCCAGCAGCCGCGGUAAUACGUAGGGGGCAAGCGUUGUCCGGAAUUACUGGGCGUAAAGGGCGCGUAGGUGGGCGCUUAAGUCAGGUGUGAAAACUCCGGGCUCAACCUGGAGACUGCACUUGGAACUGGGUGUCUUGAGGGCAGGAGAGGAAAGUGGAAUUCCUAGUGUAGCGGUGAAAUGCGUAGAUAUACGGAGGAACACCAGUGGCGAAGGCGGAUUGCUGGACAGUAACUGACGCUGAGGCGCGAAAGCGUGGGGAGCAAACAGGAUUAGAUACCCCAGUAAA
rnacentral:rRNA from 1 species